GAAUGCUGACAUAAGUAACGAUAAAGCGGGUGAAAAGCCCGCUCGCCGGAAGACCAAGGGUUCCUGUCCAACGUUAAUCGGGGCAGGGUGAGUCGACCCCUAAGGCGAGGCCGAAAGGCGUAGUCGAUGGGAAACGGGUUAAUAUUCCCGUACUUGGUGUUACUGCGAAGGGGGGACGGAGAAGGCUAUGUUGGCCGGGCGACGGUUGUCCCGGUUUAAGCGUGU
rnacentral:rRNA from 1 species